CAGUAGCCACGGUAAUACGAAGGGUGCAAGCGUUAAUCGGAAUUACUGGGCGUAAAGCGUGCGUAGGCGGUUUGUUAAGUCUGUUGUGAAAUCCCCGGGCUCAACCUGGGAAUGGCAAUGGAUACUGGCAAGCUAGAGUGUGUCAGAGGAUGGUGGAAUUCCCGGUGUAGCGGUGAAAUGCGUAGAGAUCGGGAGGAACAUCAGUGGCGAAGGCGGCCAUCUGGGACAACACUGACGCUGAGGCACGAAAGCGUGGGGAGCAAACAGGAUUAGAGACCCCUGUAGUCCCUGUCUCUUAUAC
rnacentral:rRNA from 1 species